GAUCAUGGCUCAGGACGAACGCUGGCGGCGUGCUUAACACAUGCAAGUCGAACGAAGAGCGAUGGAAGCUUGCUUCUAUCAAUCUUAGUGGCGAACGGGUGAGUAACGCGUAAUCAACCUGCCCUUCAGAGGGGGACAACAGUUGGAAACGACUGCUAAUACCGCAUACGGUCCAAUCCCGGCAUCGGGACUGGAUGAAAGGUGGCCUCUAUUUAUAAGCUAUCACUGAAGGAGGGGA
rnacentral:rRNA from 1 species